rnacentral:rRNA from 1 species
GAUGAACGCUAGCGGGAGGCCUAACACAUGCAAGCCGAGCGGUAUUGUUUCUUCGGAAAUGAGAGAGCGGCGUACGGGUGCGUAACACGUGUGCAACCUGCCUUUAUCUGGGGGAUAGCCUUUCGAAAGGGAGAUUAAUACUCCAUAAUAUAUUGAACGGCAUCGUUUAAUAUUGAAAGCUCCAGCGGAUAGAGAUGGGCACGCGCAAGAUUAGCUAGUUGGUGAGGUAACGGCUCACCAAGGCGAUGAUCUUUAGGGGGCCUGAGAGGGUGAUCCCCCACACUGGUACUGAGACACGGACCAGACUCCUACGGGAGGCAGCAGUGAGGAAUAUUGGUCAAUGGGUGCAAGCCUGAACCAGCCAUCCCGCGUGAAGGACGACUGCCCUAUGGGUUGUAAACUUCUUUUGUAUAGGGAUAAACCUACCCUCGUGAGGGUAGCGGAAGGUACUAUACGAAUAAGCACCGGCUAACUCCGUGCCAGCCGCCGCAGUAA